UGGCUGUCGUCAGCUCGUGUCGUGAGAUGUUGGGGUUAAGUCCCGCAACGAGCGCAACCCUCGCCCUUAGUUGCCAUCAUUCAGUUGGGCACUCUAAGGGGGACUGCCGGUGGAUAAGCCGAGAGGAAGGUGGGGAUGACGGUCAAGUCCUCAUGGCCCUUACGGGCUGGGCUACACACGUGCUACAAUGGUGGUGACAGUGGGCAGCGAGACCGCGAGGUCGAGCUAAUCUCCAAAAGCCAUCUCAGUUCGGAUUGCACUCUGCAACUCGAGUGCAUGAAGUUGGAAUCGCUAGUAAUCGCGGAUCAGCAUGCCGCGGUGAAUACGUUCCCGGGCCUU
rnacentral:rRNA from 1 species